rnacentral:rRNA from 1 species
CAGCAGCCGCGGGAAUACGUAGGGUGCAAGCGUUGUCCGGAAUCAUUGGGCGUAAAGCGCGCGUAGGUGGCCAUUUAAGUCCGCUGUGAAAGUCAAAGGCUCAACCUUUGAAAGCCGGUGGAUACUGGAUGGCUAGAGUACGGAAGAGGCGAGUGGAAUUCCUGGUGUAGCGGUGGAAUGCGCAGAUAUCAGGAGGAACACCAAUAGCGAAGGCAGCUCGCUGGGACGUUAGUGACACUAAGGCGCGAAAGCGUGGGGAGCGAACAGGAUUAGAUACCCCAGUAGUCCCUGUCUCUUAUAC